rnacentral:rRNA from 1 species
AGGGCGCAUGGCGGAUGCCUUGGCUCUCGGAGGCGAUGAAGGACGUGAUAAGCUGCGAUAAGCUUCGGGUAGGUGCAAAUGACCUUUGAUCCGAAGAUUUCCGAAUGGGACAACCCGGCAUUCUGAAGGAAUGUCAUCCAACUAAGUUGGAGGCUAACGCAGGGAACUGAAACAUCUUAGUACCUGCAGGAAAAGAAAAUAAAUAAUGAUUCCCCUAGUAGUGGCGAGCGAACGGGGAUUAGCCCAAACCACCCAUGUUACGGCAUGUGUGGGGUUGUAGGACCACGCUCUCGCAAGACAGUUAUUGAGAAGAAACGACUGGAAAGUCGUGCCAUAGACGGUGAUAGCCCGGUAUUCUAAGGUAACCGAAGCGUAGUGGUAUCCUGAGUAGCGCGGAGCACGAGGAAUUCUGCGUGAACCAGCCGGGACCAUCCGGUAAGGCUAAAUACUCCCGAGAGACCGAUAGCGAACCAGUACUGUGAAGGAAAGGUGAAAAGCACUUCGAAUAGAAGAGUGAAAUAGUCCCUGAAACCAUGCGCCUACAAGCGGUCGGAGCAGCUUAAGUUGUGACGGCGUGCCUUUUGCAUAAUGAACCUACGAGUUACUUUUUCCGGCAAGGUUAAGCAUCUUGAGAUGUGGAUCCGAAGCGAAAGCGAGUCUGAACAGGGCGGAUAGUCGGAAGGAGUAGACGCGAAACCAAGUGAUCUACCCUUGGGCAGGUUGAAGGUUAGGUAACACUAACUGGAGGACCGAACCGAUAAGCGUUGAAAAGCUUCCGGAUGACCUGAGGGUGGGGGGGAAAGGCUAAUCAAACUUGGAGAUAGCUCGUACUCCCCGAAAUGCAUUUAGGUGCAGCCUUGAGAGUUACUAAUGUGAGGUAGAGCGACUGAUAAGAUGCGAGGGCUUCACCGCCUAUCAAGUCUUGAUAAACUCCGAAUGCGCAUUAGUUCUAUCUCAGGAGUGAGGGCAUGGGUGCUAAGGUCCAUGUCCUAAAGGAGAAGAAUCCAGACCAUCAGCUAAGGUCCCCAAAUAAACACUAAGUUGAACUAACGAAGUCAGAUUGCUAAGACAGCUAGGAUGUUGGCUUGGAAGCAGCCAUUCAUUUAAAGAGUGCGUAACAGCUCACUAGUCGAGGAGUUUGGCGUGGAUAAUAAUCGGGCAUAAGUGUUUUACCGAAGCUAUGGGAUCCUAACGGAUCGGUAGGGGAGCAUUCCACUCAGCGUUGAAGGCGAAGCGUGAGCUUUACUGGAGCGUGUGGAAAAGCAAAUGUAGGUAUAAGUAACGAUAAAGGGGGUGAGAAACCCCCUCGCCGCAAGACUAAGGUUUCCUGAUCAACGCUAAUCGGAUCAGGGUUAGUCGGGUCCUAAGGCUCAGCCGAACGGUGAGGCCGAUGGCAGAACAGGUUAAUAUUCCUGUACUACCUGUAGGAGUGAUGUGGAGACGGAGGAGUGACAACGCCGCGGACUGACGGAAUAGUCCGUUAAAGGGUGUAGAUGUUGAUUAUCCCAGGCAAAUCCGGGAUAAGAGUCGAACCUGACAGUAUACCAAUUUCCUCGGAAAACGGUAAUAGUGCGUGUAAACAUACUCCCAAGAAAAUCCGCUAAACUUAAUCUUACAGGUACCCGUACCGUAAACGGACACACGUAGUCGGGUUGAAUAUACUCAGGCGCUUGAGUGAAUCACGGUUAAGGAACUAGGCAAAUUGACCCUGUAACUUCGGGAUAAAGGGUCCCUACCCGGUGACGGGAGGGCGCAGAGAAUAGGUCCAGGCAACUGUUUAACAAAAACACAGGGCUGUGCAAAAUUGAAAGAUCACGUAUACAGCCUGACACCUGCCCGGUGCUGGAAGGUUAAGAGGAGAUGUCAUCGCAAGAGAAGCAUUGAAUUGAAGCCCCAGUAAACGGCGGCCGUAACUAUAACGGUCCUAAGGUAGCGAAAUUCCUUGUCGGGUAAGUUCCGACCUGCACGAAUGGUGUAAUGAUCUGGACACUGUCUCAACCGUGAGCUCAGUGAAAUUGUAGUAUCGGUGAAGAUGCCGAUUACCCGCGAUGGGACGAAAAGACCCCGUGAACCUUUACUAUAGCUUAACAUUGAAUUUGGGUAAUUGAUGUGUAGGAUAGGCCGGAGACUU